rnacentral:tRNA from 1 species
GCCUGGCUGGCUCAGUGAGAAGAGCACAUGGCUCUUGACCUUGGGGUCAUGAGUUCAAGCCCCAUUAUGGGUA